rnacentral:rRNA from 1 species
CCAGACUCCUACGGGAGGCAGCAGUGGGGAAUAUUGCACAAUGGGGGGAACCCUGAUGCAGCGACGCCGCGUGGGUGAAGGAGCACCUCGGUGCGUAAAGCCCUAUCGGCAGGGAAGAAAAGCGAACAGGUUCGCCUGGACGGUACCUGACUAAGAAGCCCCGGCUAACUACGUGCCAGCAGCCGCGGUAAUACGUAGGGGGCAAGCGUUAUCCGGAUUCACUGGGUGUAAAGGGAACGUAGACGGCGACGCAAGUCUGGAGUGAAAGGCGGGGGCCCAACCCCCGGACUGCUUUGGAAACUGUAUGGCUGGAGUGCAGGAGAGGUAAGUGGAAUUCCUAGUGUAGCGGUGAAAUGCGUAGAUAUUAGGAGGAACACCAGUGGCGAAGGCGACUUACUGGACUGUAACUGACGUUGAGGCUCGAAAGCGUGGGGAGCAAACAGGAUUAGAUACCCGCGUAUU